AGAACUUUGAGAGAGAGUUCAAGAGUACGUGAAACUGCUCAGAGGCAAACGGGUGGGCACUCGAAAUCCUCUUGUGGAGGGAUUCAGUCGGAAGCGGACGGGAGCCGUCUAUUUCGGACCCCUAUCAGAGGCCGAGAGAGUCGGUGCUAACCUAUUCGCGUCCGACGCACUUCCUUCCGCACCGUGGACGCCGCAACCGGUCGGGUAGCUGCGAGAGUCGGCCGUGAGGGUGUGCGAUGGCAGGUGACCGGUGACGUUGGCCUCGGCCUCGUCGCCGGUUGUUAGCCGGUGCACCCGUGGCGCGACACCCGACCGAGGUCGAAGUUCCCUACUGGGAACGCGCCGUUUCCUUCCCCCGGAAGCGGGAGGCGGAGCACGCGCGUCGGUGCGUUGCCGCGUCACUCAUCGCAGUGGCCGGCACGCAUCGGACGUGGUUGGUUUCGUCGGUCCCGCGGUGAAGAAACACGGUUGGCGGCGAGUAGGUCGGUCACCCACCCGACCCGUCUUGAAACACGGACCAAGGAGUCUAACAUGUGCGCGAGUCGCCGGGUCUUGAACAGGCCCGCGGGCGCAAUGAAAGUGAAAUUGUUGGGACCCGGUCCCUCGAGGGCCGGGGCACCAACGACCCGUCCAUUGUGGUCUGACCACUGGGGCGGAGUCGGAGCGUACACGUUGGGACCCGAAAGAUGGUGAACUAUGCCUGGGCAGAACGAAGCCAGAGGAAACUCUGGUGGAGGUUCGCAGCGGUUCUGACGUGCAAUCGAUCGKUCAGACCCRGG
rnacentral:rRNA from 1 species